UAAAGUUAGUGGAGGUUCGUUUAAUUUCAUGUUUUAUAUAUUUCUUGACUGAAUAGGGGGGUAGAGUGUUUUCCUUUUCCAUGUACUGUAAGGGGAAAAAACUGUUUCUUAUUAUUGAAGUAAAUGCAUGUGAACAAAGUUAAUUAUUGAAAUAGAACAUUAUUUUUCGUUUUAGUUAUGAAAGAUAAAAUUCUUGGAUUGGAGUUAAAAGGAAAUACUCAUUAAUGUGGGUUUCAUAUUCUUGUGAUAUGACUUAUUUAUUAACUUUACAAAAUUUUCAGGAAUCCAUUUGAGUUCGACAUAUUGAAUUGGAUAGCUAGGGCAUUCACAUAGUUUCUUCAAGCAAAAGUUUGGUUAGGAUCUAGCAUAUCUAGAUCUUAGUGAAAGUUUAGCCUAAACCAACCAGACUGGAAACAAAGGUUCCAUAUAGCAUGCUCCGACUUGAUUAGAACGAGAAAGUGCAACAUGAGUUGUUGGUGGUCUUUGCAAACCAAUUUCUUGAAAAGAAGCAUUCUGGAUGCCUUGCAUUGCUUCGAGAUGACAAGGUGGAGGAUCUUUCAAGGAUGUAUAGGCUUAGCUUGGAACUUGUUGCUACCUUUUUCAAGCAGCCUAUUACUGCUGAAGGGACAGACUUGGUCCAGCAAGCUGAAGAUGCUGCAAAUAGCCUGGAACAGGUUCUUGUGAGAAAAAU
rnacentral:misc_RNA from 1 species